rnacentral:rRNA from 1 species
GUAGGUGGCAAGCGUUGUCCGUAAUUAUUGGGCGUAAAGCGCGCGCAGGCGGUUCUUUAAGUCUGAUGUGAAAGCCCACGGCUCAACCGUGGAGGGUCAUUGGAAACUGGAGAACUUGAGUACAGAAGAGGAAAGCGGAAUUCCACGUGUAGCGGUGAAAUGCGUAGAGAUGUGGAGGAACACCAGUGGCGAAGGCGGCUUUCUGGUCUGUAACUGACGCUGAGGCGCGAAAGCGUGGGGAGCAAACAGGGAUUAGAUACCCUGGUAGUCCACGCCGUAAACGAUGAGUGCUAAGUGUUAGGGGGUUUCCGCCCCCUUAGUGCUGCAGCUAACGCAUUAAGCACUCCGCCUGGGGAUACGGCCGCAAGGCUG